AGAACGAACGCUGGCGGCAGGCUUAACACAUGCAAGUCGAGCGCUGUAGCAAUACAGAGCGGCAGACGGGUGAGUAACGCGUGGGAACAUACCCUCCGGUUCGGAAUAACUCAGGGAAACUUGAGCUAAUACCGAAUACGGUCGAGAGGCGAAAGAUUUAUCGCCGGAGGAUUGGCCCGCGUUCGAUUAGCUAGUUGGUGAGGUAACGGCUCACCAAGGCGACGAUCGAUAGCUGGUCUGAGAGGAUGAUCAGCCACAUUGGGACUGAGACACGGCCCAAACUCCUACGGGAGGCAGCAGUGGGGAAUAUUGGACAAUGGGCGCAAGCCUGAUCCAGCCAUGCCGCGUGGAUGAUGAAGGCCUUAGGGUUGUAAAGUCCUUUUAACGGGGAAGAUAAUGACGGUACCGUAGAAUAAGCCCGGCUAACUUCGCGCCAGCAGCCGC
rnacentral:rRNA from 1 species